rnacentral:rRNA from 1 species
AGUGAACGCUGGCGGUAGGCCUAACACAUGCAAGUCGAACGGCAGCACAGGAGAGCUUGCUCUCUGGGUGGCGAGUGGCGGACGGGUGAGGAAUACAUCGGAAUCUACUUUUUCGUGGGGGAUAACGUAGGGAAACUUACGCUAAUACCGCAUACGACCUACGGGUGAAAGCAGGGGAUCUUCGUACCUUGCGCGAUUGAAUGAGCCGAUGUCGGAUUAGCUAGUUGGCGGGGUAACGGCCCACCAAGGCGACGAUCCGUAGCUGGUCUGAGAGGAUGAUCAGCCACACUGGAACUGAGACACGGUCCAGACUCCUACGGGAGGCAGCAGUGGGGAAUAUUGGACAAUGGGCGCAAGCCUGAUCCAGCCAUACCGCGUGGGUGAAGAAGGCCUUCGGGUUGUAAAGCCCUUUUGUUGGGAAAGAAAUCCAGCUGGUUAAUACCCGGUUGGGAUGACGGUACCCAAAGAAUAAGCACCGGCUAACUUCGUGCCAGCAGCCGCAGUAA